AGAGUUUGAUCAUGGCUCAGGAUGAACGCUGACAGAAUGCUUAACACAUGCAAGUCUACUUGAUCCUUCGGGUGAAGGUGGCGGACGGGUGAGUAACGCGUAAAGAACUUGCCUUACAGACUGGGACAACAUUUGGAAACGAAUGCUAAUACCGGAUAUUAUGACUGAGUCGCAUGAUUUGGUUAUGAAAGCUAUAUGCGCUGUGAGAGAGCUUUGCGUCCCAUUAGUUAGUUGGUGAGGUAACGGCUCACCAAGACGAUGAUGGGUAGCCGGCCUGAGAGGGUGAACGGCCACAAGGGGACUGAGACACGGCCCUUACUCCUACGGGAGGCAGCAGUGGGGAAUAUUGGACAAUGGACCAAAAGUCUGAUCCAGCAAUUCUGUGUGCACGAUGAAGUUUUUCGGAAUGUAAAGUGCUUUCAGUUGGGAAGAAGUCAGUGACGGUACCAACAGAAGAAGCGACGGCUAAAUACGUGCCAGCAGCCGCGGUAAUACGUAUGUCGCAAGCGUUAUCCGGAUUUAUUGGGCGUAAAGCGCGUCUAGGCGGUUUAGUAAGUCUGAUGUGAAAAUGCGGGGCUCAACCCCCGUAUUG
rnacentral:rRNA from 1 species